rnacentral:lncRNA from 1 species
GGAGAUACAUAAACAUGAACAGAACUUUAUGCACAAGACCUGGGCUCCUUGAAGUGUGGCACAUUUUGCAUAUUAAACAUCAUGUGGUUCAGUGUAAUUUGGAAAAAAGGCUACUACAACAUCUGUGUGAGCAAAGCAGUGACCCAACAAGUCACACAAACUAGCGGCCAAAAACCUGGUCUUGUAAGUCUCCCUAGGUUUUCAUCUUUCAAUUUGUUUCCUUCCUUGUUUGUUUGAUCAAAAGGCAAGUUCCCCUGCAACAGGGAGCCAUGUAACAUCUCCAUUGCGGUGCCACAGUUUCACCAUUGGAAAGGCAGUAUUAGAGUGUGUGAAAUACAGCCAUCGUUGUUUGAUUGGUUUUUGGGGGGCAGCUAAAGCCAUAACACAGCAGGCACCACAUGACUAGCUAAAUCUUCAUGGUUUGCAAAAAAUGAUCCUUGUGCCCACUUUUGGAAACCCAACUGCCUUCAGAAAUCCAUUCAUUAUCACAUGUUGGGAUACGCUUAGGGAGCACACUUGAGCAGUCUUCACUCAUUUCUUAGCAGGAACAUUUGCACAAAUGAGGGCUGCUUGCAUUGAGGAGUUUGUUGGUGGUGCUGUUGUCUUUGCUUUUCUUCUUUGCUCCCUUCUCCAAACGGAGGGCCAGUCAUCAGAUGUCGUAGAUGGCUGAAUUUUGCCAUCCAGAUGUGUUCCUGCUCUUUGCUUGCUGCUGAUGUGGCCCUGGUUUGGCCUCCAGCUCACUCUGAGGCUGUGCUGAGCAAGGACUGUGCUGAGGGAAGGCCAUAUUGAGUGAAGGCCAUGCUGAGUGAAGGCCAUGCUGAGUGAAGGCCAUGUUGAGUGAAGACCAUAUUGAGUGAAGGCC